rnacentral:lncRNA from 1 species
AUAUAAUUUUUAUUUAAAAUUUUAGGGUAUUCUGCUUGGUUGUAUUUUUACCUCAGGUUUACAGAUUUUUUUUAAAGGGCUUGUUAUUUUUAUUUAUUGUAUCACCUCGUAGAUUUGGUUGUGCACUUUUAGGUUUGCAUCAGUUUUAGUAUAUUAAUAGUUGACCGUAUAUAAACAGAGAUAUUUAUUAAUAGUUAUCAUGAAUCAAAGGGACAGUGGCAAAUAGUUUUCUGUAAAAAAAAAAAAUCAAAACUAGCUCUUUGUUAUUACAUUUUGAUGUUUAUGCAAGUAUUAAAAUAAAUAUAGAUCUUAUGAAAUCACAUAUGGUUACGUUUCAAUUUUUAUCAAAUUUUAUCAAUAUU